AUUGAACGCUGGCGGGAAUGCUUUACACAUGCAAGUCGAGCGGCAGCGCGGGGGCAACCCUGGCGGCGAGCGGCGAACGGGUGAGUAACAUAUCGGAACGUACCCAGUCGUGGGGGAUAACGUAUCCGAAAGGAUAGCUAAUACCGCAUACGUCCUGAGGGAGAAAGCGGGGGAUCGCAAGACCUCGCGCGAUUGGAGCGGCCGAUAUCGGAUUAGCUAGUUGGUGGGGUAAAGGCUCACCAAGGCGACGAUCCGUAGCGGGUCUGAGAGGACGACCCGCCACACUGGAACUGAGACACGGUCCAGACUCCUACGGGAGGCAGCAGUGGGGAAUUUUGGACAAUGGGGGCGAACCCUGAUCCAGCCAUUCCGACGUGAGUGAAGAAGGCCU
rnacentral:rRNA from 1 species